rnacentral:rRNA from 1 species
AGUGAACGCUGGCGGUAGGCCUAACACAUGCAAGUCGAACGGCAGCACAGUAAGAGCUUGCUCUUACGGGUGGCGAGUGGCGGACGGGUGAGGAAUACAUCGGAAUCUACUUUUUCGUGGGGGAUAACGUAGGGAAACUUACGCUAAUACCGCAUACGACCUACGGGUGAAAGCAGGGGAUCUUCGGACCUUGCGCGAUUGAAUGAGCCGAUGUCGGAUUAGCUAGUUGGCGGGGUAAAGGCCCACCAAGGCGACGAUCCGUAGCUGGUCUGAGAGGAUGAUCAGCCACACUGGAACUGAGAAACGGUCCAGACUCCUACGGGAGGCAGCAGUGGGGAAUAUUGGACAAUGGUCGCAAGCCUGAUCCAGCCAUACCGCGUGGGUGAAGAAGGCCUUCGGGUUGUAAAGCCCUUUUGUUGGGAAAGAAAAGCAGCAGGUUAAUACCCCGCUGUUCUGACGGUACCCAAAGAAUAAGCACCGGCUAACUUCGUG